CCCUGCUGUGUCCCGUUUCCCCCCCGGUGUCCCCUCUCCCCUCCCCGUGUCCCCUCUCACUCCCCAGUGUCCCCUCUCCUCCCAGUGUCCCCUCUCCUCCCAGUGUCCCCUCACUCCGGUGUCCCCCUCUCCCCCGGUGUCCCCGCAGAUGGGGCCGUGUUCCCCCCGGUGCUGGCGCUGUGACCGGAGCCCCCGCGAGGAGCAGCGCCGGGAGCGGCGGCCACGCGUGGAACUGGAACCAGCAGCGGGCCCGGGGCUGUCCCCGACCCGCCCGACCCCGCCCCGGGCCCGGCGCCGCGGGGCUCCCCUUUCCCUGCCGGUACCGGGAAGCACUGCCGUGCCCCGCCCCGCUCGCCCGCCGGACCGGGCGCCCUCAUAAAGCAGCCUCGGACCCCCGACGAGCGUGUCCUCCUUGGCUCCGGGGGCGGCACCGGCACCGGGGGGACGGCACAAAGGAUCGGGGCUGGGGCCGGGAGCGCGGCACGGAGGGGCCGGACCGGGACCGGGACAGGACCGGAAGGUCCCGGAUCGGGCACAGAGCAAGAAGCGGGGCUGGCACCGGGGACAGGGCGGGAAUGACCGGGACUGGGAGCAGGGACAGGGUGCAGCGGAGCCAGACCGAGGCUGGCACCGGGACGCGGCAGGGACCGGGCUCGGAACGGGACCAGCACCGGGGCACGGCGGGACGGACUCGGGCACAGAUGAGGCUGGGACCGGGAGCACGGCAGGAAGGACCAAGGUUCGUGUCGGUGUUCAGACCGGGGCACGGCAGGACGGACCGGGACCGGACCAGGGGCACGGCAGGACGGACCCGGCCCAGGACGGUUCGGGACCAGACCGGGGACACUGCAGGACGGACCGGGGCUCAGACCAGUGGCACGGCAGGGCGCACCGGGACCAGACCGGGGACACAGCAGGACGGACCGGGACCAGACCGGGGACACUGCGGGACGGACCGGGGCUCAGACCGGUGGCACGGCAGGGCGCACCGGGACCAGACCGGGGACACUGCGGGACGGACCUGGCCCAGGCUCGGUCCUGACCUCAGACCGGGGCACGGCAGGACAGACCCGGCCCAGGUUCGGUCCGGGGCUCAGAGCGGGGGUUCGGCGGGACCGGACCAGGGGCACGACAGGACGGACCCAGCCCAGGCUCAGUCCGGGGCUCAGACCGGGGGCACGCCAGAGCGGAUCGGAACCGGACUGGGAGCACGGCAGGCUCGGUCCGGGGCUCAGACCGGGGGAUCGGCGGGACGGUCCCGCUCCGGGUCCCGGUUCGCGGCACAGCCGGGCGGGGGCGGGGCCAGACCGCUCCAAUAGGCGGAGUCACCCCAGGCCCCGCCCACCCGGG
rnacentral:lncRNA from 1 species